GUCUGUCUGUCUGAUGUAUGCGUUGCGUCGUCGUAGACAAAACAGUUUCGUCUUGGUAUGCACCGCGUGGUAGACACAACUGUUUCUCUUUAAUCGUAAAACUGACUCGUUUAUGUGAAACAAGAUUGUCUAAAAACUGUCGUGUUUUUAAUGUGUGCGGUGGCCCUUAUUGUUUGUAAUUAUGACAAGUUAUUAAACAGUAGAUAAGUAUUACUAACUUCUCUUCUUUUGAAUUCAGAUUUCAGAUCUAAAGACGGCUAUGGACUAGAAAAGGGACGCGGUCCGUGGUCACUGGUCAACCACUUGAGUCAAUCUGUGUGUCUAAUGUCCUACUUCCAUCUCCUGUGCCAUUUCAAAAAUUACUAGACGUGGGGUCCAAUUCUCGUAUCUACGAACUUCGAUUCGCUGUCCCGCUUGUUCCGCACGAUAUUGAGGAAGUGUGAGUGAGACGGCCUUAUAUCCGCGAUUAAAGUAGGCUGCACAUAUAUUCUGUGGCUGCAUUCCAUUGUUUCGUCGUUCGUUUAACCAUUACUUAACAUUAAUUUAAUGAAGGUAUUGCCAUAGUUUCAUAUAUUUUC